GACAGAGGGUGCAAACGUUGCUCGGAAUCACUGGGCGUAAAGCGCACGUAGGCGGCUUUGUAAGUUAGAGGUGAAAGCCCGGGGCUCAACUCCGGAAUUGCCUUUAAGACUGCAUCGCUAGAAUUGUGGAGAGGUAAGUGGAAUUCCGAGUGUAGAGGUGAAAUUCGUAGAUAUCGGGAGGAACACCAGUGGCGAAGGCGGCGAUCUGGGAAGAUACGUGACGCUGAGGUGCGAAAGCGUGGGGAGCAAACAGG
rnacentral:rRNA from 1 species